ensembl:lncRNA
GCAGGAUAGUCUAGUGGUUAGAGUGUAGAGGCGGCAGGGUAGCCUAGUGGUUAGAGUGUAGGGGCGGCAGGGUAGCCUAGUGGUUAGAGUGUAGAGGCGGCAGGGUAGCCUAGUGGUUAGAGUGUAGGGGCGGCAGGGUAGCCUAGUGGUUAGAGUGUAGAGGCGGCAGGGUAGCCUAGUGGUUAGAGUGUAGGGGUGGCAGGGUAGCCUAGUGGUUAGAGUGUAGAGGCGGCAGGUAGCCUAGUGGUUAGAGUGUAGAGGUGGCAGGUAACCUAGUGGUUAGAGUGUAGAGGCGGCAGCGUAGCCUAGUGGUUAGAGUGUAGAGGCGGCAGGUAGCCUAGUGGUUAGAGUGUAGAGGCGGCAGGUAGCCUAGUGGUUAGAGUGUAGGGGUGGCAGGGUAGCCUAGUGGUUAGAGUGUAGGGGCGGCAGGGUAGCCUAGUGGUUAGAGUGUAGGGGCGGCAGGGUAGCCUAGUGGUUAGAGUGUAGGGGCGGCAGGGUAGGCUUGUGGUUAGAGUGUAGGGGCGGCAGGGUAGCCUAGUGGUUAGAGUGUAGGGGCGGCAGGGUAGCCUAGUGGUUAGAGUGUAGGGGCGGCAGGUAACCUAGUGGUUAGAGUGUAGAGGUGGCAGGUAACCUAGUGGAUAGAGUGUAGAGGUGGCAGG